AUUGAACGCUGGCGGCCGGCCUAACACAUGCAAGUCGAGCGGAUGAUAGGAGCUUGCUCCUUGAUUCAGCGGCGGACGGGGGAGUAAUGCCUAGGAAUCUGCCUGGUAGUGGGGGACAACGUAUAGAAAGGCACGCUAAUACCGCAUACGUCCUACGGGAGAAUGCAGGGGACCUGCGGCCUUCGCGCUACCAGGUAAGCCUAGGUCGGAUGAGCUAGUUGGUGAGGUAAUUGCUCACCAAGGCGACGAUCCGUAACUGGUCUGAGAGGAUGAUCAGUCACACUGGAACUGAGACACGGUCCAGACUCGUACGGGAGGCAGCAGUGGGGAAUAUUGGACAAUGGGCGAAAGCCUGAUCCAGCCAUGCCGCGUGUGUGAAGAAGGUCUUCGGAUUGUAAAGCACUUUAAGUUGGGAGGAAGGGUAUUCACCUAAUACGUGGGUACUUUGACGUUACCAACAGAAUAAGCACCGGCUAACUCUGUGCCAGCCGCCGCGGUAACAC
rnacentral:rRNA from 1 species